GGCCGGCUGGCGCAAUGGUAGCGCGUAGCCCUCCUAUCUCCCGCUCGGAAAGGCUAAGGCUGUGGGUUCGAGUCCCACGUCGGUCG